rnacentral:rRNA from 1 species
UGGGGAAUAUUGGACAAUGGGGGAAACCCUGAUCCAGCAAUGCCGCGUGAGUGAAGAAGGCCUUAGGGUUGUAAAGCUCUUUCGCCCGCGAAGAUAAUGACGGUAGCGGGAGAAGAAGCCCCGGCUAACUCCGUGCCAGCAGCCGCGGUAAUACGGAGGGGGCUAGCGUUGUUCGGAAUUACUGGGCGUAAAGCGUACGUAGGCGGAUGCGCAAGUUGGGGGUGAAAUCCCGGGGCUUAACCUCGGAAUUGCCCUCAAAACUGCACGUCUUGAGACCGAGAGAGGUAAGGGGAAUUCCUAGUGUAGAGGUGAAAUUCGUAGAUAUUAGGAAGAACACCAGUGGCGAGGGCGCCUUACUGGCUCGGUACUGACGCUGAGGUACGAAAGCGUGGGGAGCAAACA